CUACGGGGGGCACCAGUGAGGAAUAUUGCACAAUGGGGGGAACCCUGAUGCAGCAACGCCGCGUGGAGGAUGACGCAUUUCGGUGUGUAAACUCCUUUUAUAUGUCAAGAAAAUGACGGUAGCAUAUGAAUAAGCACCGGCUAACUCCGUGCCAGCAGCCGCGGUAAUACGGAGGGUGCAAGCGUUACUCGGAAUCACUGGGCGUAAAGGACGCGUAGGCGGGUUGGAAAGUCAGGUGUGAAAUCCUACAGCUUAACUGUAGAACUGCACUUGAAACUUCUAAUCUAGAGUAUGGGAGGGGGAGAUGGAAUUAGUGGUGUAGGGGUAAAAUCCGCAGAUAUCACUAGGAAUACCUAAAACGAAGGCGAUCUCCUGGAACAUUACUGACGCUAAGGCGUGAAAGCGUGGGGAGCAAACAGGAUUAGAUACCCCAGUAGUC
rnacentral:rRNA from 1 species